rnacentral:misc_RNA from 1 species
AAGUCGUAACAAGGUUUCCGUAGGUGAACCUGCGGAAGGAUCAUUCAUAAUAAGUGUUUUAUGGCACUUUUUUAAGUCCAUAUCCAUCUUGUGUGCAAUGUCAGGGUUGGUCUCUCUUUUUUUAAAGACAGAUCGGCCCCAAACAUCAACCCUAUCUUUUAACUCUUUGUCUGAAAAAUAUUAUGAAUAAAACAAUUCAAAAUACAACUUUCAGCAACGGAUCUCUUGGCUCUC